rnacentral:rRNA from 1 species
AUACGGAGGGGGUUAGCGUUGUUCGGAAUUACUGGGCGUAAAGCGCACGUAGGCGGACUGGAAAGUUGGGGGUGAAAUCCCGGGGCUCAACCCCGGAACUGCCUCCAAAACUUCCAAUCUAGAGAUCGAGAGAGGUGAGUGGAAUUCCAAGUGUAGAGGUGAAAUUCGUAGAUAUUUGGAGGAACACCAGUGGCGAAGGCGGCCCACUGGCUCGAUACUGACGCUGAGGUGCGAAAGCGUGGGGAGCAAACAGGAUUAGAUACCCCAGUAGUCC